GGAGAAUAGAGACUAAAGAUAUCCACCUGUAGAUUAUAAAUCAGAUGUUAGGAGAAUAGAGACUAAAGAUAUCCACCUGUAGAUUAUAAUUCAGAUGUUAGGAGAAUAGAGACUAAAGAUAUCCACCUGUAGAUUAUAAAUCAGAUGUACAGUAUUUGUCUUUUUAUGUUUCAGGUUUGAUGAUAGGAGAACAGUGACUUGUACUUCACAGCUGGACCUCUGAGGUGCUGUUCAGGCCACGACAUUGUAAACCAGGGCUGGGGGGGCAAUUCUAUUUCAAAUCAGGAGGUAAAGCCGAAAUGCACAUUCCAAUGUUCCACAUUAAAAAGUUGAAAAAAAAGGAGAAUUGGAAUUUCAGUUGUACUUCCUGAAUCGACUGAUUUGAAAUGGAAUUGAGCCCAACCCUGCUAUAGACACACAGCAUGAAGUUUGUGCUAUCAUGCCAACUCCCUGUCACACUGAUGACCCUAGCCUGAGUGCCAGUCUGUUUGUGCUAUCAUGCCAACUCCCUGUCACACUGAUGACCCUAGCCUGAGUGCCAGUCUGUUUGUGCUAUCAUGCCAACUCCCUGUCACACUGAAAACAGAUCUGGGGUCAGGCUAUAGAAGGAGACAACAGAUCUGGGGUCAGGCUAUAGAAGGAGACAACAGAUCUGGGGUCAGGCUAUAUAAGAAGACAACAGAUCUGGGGUCAGGCUAUAGAAGGAGACAACAGAUCUGGGGUCAGGCUAUAGAAGGAGACAACAGAUCUGGGGUCAGGCUAUAGAAGGAG
ensembl:lncRNA